rnacentral:rRNA from 1 species
AUUGAACGCUGGCGGCAUGCUUUACACAUGCAAGUCGAACGGUAACGCGGGGGCAACCCUGGCGACGAGUGGCGAACGGGUGAGUAAUACAUCGGAACAUAUCCAGUAGCGGGGGAUAACCUAUCGAAAGAUGGACUAAUACCGCAUACGAUCUACGGAUGAAAGCAGGGGACCGCAAGGCCUUGCACUAUUGGAGUGGCCGAUGUCGGAUUAGCUAGUUGGUGAGGUAAAGGCUUACCAAGGCAACGAUCCGUAGCUGGUCUGAGAGGACGAUCAGCCACACUGGAACUGAGAGACGGUCCAGACUCCUACGGGAGGCAGCAGUAGGGAAUAUUGGGCAAUGGGCGAAAGCCUGACCCAGCCAUGCCGCGUGAAGGAAGACGGCCUUAUGGGUUGUAAACUUCUUUACUACGCGAAUAGAGGUUAGUACGAGAUACUAAUAGGAAGGUAGUGUAGUAAAAAGCACCGGCUAACUCCGUG